GACGAACGCUGGCGGUGUGCUUAACACAUGCAAGUCGAACGGUAAGGCCAUUUCGGGGGUACACGAGUGGCGAACGGGUGAGUAACACGUGAGUAACCUGCCCUCAUCUCUGGGAUAACAGUCGGAAACGGUUGCUAAUACUGGAUAUGAGCUUGCAAGGCAUCUUGUGGGUUGGAAAGAUUUUUUUGGUUGGGGAUGGACUCGCGGCCUAUCAGCUUGUUGGUGAGGUAGUGGCUCACCAAGGCUUCGACGGGUAGCCGGCCUGAGAGGGCGACCGGUCACAUUGGGACUGAGAUACGGCCCAAACUCCUACGGGAGGCAGCAGUGGGGAAUAUUGCACAAUGGACGGAAGUCUGAUGCAGCAACGCCGCGUGCGGGAUGACGGCCUUCGGGUUGUAAACCGCUUUCAAUUGUGACGAAGCUUUUUGUGACGGUAGCAGUAGAAGAAGCACCGGCUAACUACGUG
rnacentral:rRNA from 1 species